UACGAAGGGGGCUAGCGUUGCUCGGAAUCACUGGGCGUAAAGGGUGCGUAGGCGGGUCUUUAAGUCAGGGGUGAAAUCCUAGGAGCUCAACUCCAGAACUGCCUUUGAUACUGAGGAUCUUGAGUUCGGGAGAGGUGAGUGGAACUGCGAGUGUAGAGGUGAAAUUCGUAGAUAUUCGCAAGAACACCAGUGGCGAAGGCGGCUCACUGGCCCGAUACUGACGCUGAGGCACGAAAGCGUGGGGAGCAAACAGG
rnacentral:rRNA from 1 species